CUACGGGCCGCUCCAGUGAGGAAUUUUGCGCAAUGGGGGAAACCCUGACGCAGCAACGCCGCGUGAGCGAAGAAGGCCCUCGGGUCGUAAAGCUCUGUCAAGUGGGAAAAAAAUUUUUUGAUCAAUAGUCAAAAGACUUGAUGGUACCACUGGAGGAAGCACCGGCUAACUCCGUGCCAGCAGCCGCGGUAAUACGGAGGGUGCAAGCGUUGUUCGGAUUUAGUGGGCGUAAAGAGCGUGUAGGCGGUUUAGCAAGGCAGAUGUGAAAGCCCUGGGCUCAACCCGGGAAGUGCAUUUGAAACUGCUUCACUAGAGUAUGGGAGAGGAGAUUGGAAUUCCUGGUGUAGAGGUGAAAUUCGUAGAUAUCAGGAGGAACACCCGUGGCGAAGGCGAUUCUCUGGACCAAUACUGACGCUGAGACGCGAAAGCGUGGGGAGCAAACAGGAUUAGAUACCCGCGUAGUC
rnacentral:rRNA from 1 species